AACGUAGGGGGCAAGCGUUGUUCGGAAUUACUGGGCGUAAAGCGCGUGUAGGCGGCUUGGCAAGUCGGAAGUGAAAGCCCCAGGCUCAACUUGGGAAUUGCUUUCGAAACUGCCAGGCUUGAGUGCGGGAGGGGAGAGCGGAAUUCCAGGUGUAGCGGUGAAAUGCGUAGAUAUCUGGAGGAACACCGGUGGCGAAGGCGGCUCUCUGGACCGUAACUGACGCUGAGACGCGAAAGCGUGGGUAGCAAACAGG
rnacentral:rRNA from 1 species